UACGUAGGGUGCGAGCGUUGUCCGGAAUUACUGGGCGUAAAGAGCUCGUAGGUGGUUUGUCGCGUUGUUCGUGAAAACUCACAGCUCAACUGUGGGCGUGCGGGCGAUACGGGCAGACUAGAGUACUGCAGGGGAGACUGGAAUUCCUGGUGUAGCGGUGGAAUGCGCAGAUAUUGGGAAGAACACCAGUGGCGAAGGCGGUUCUCUGGGCAUUACCUGACGCUGAGGAGCGAAAGUGUGGGGAGCGAACAGG
rnacentral:rRNA from 1 species